CGAGCCACUGCCUGUUCACCCCGCUAUCAUCCAGAAGGCGAGAAAGAAGAGAGACUGAAGCUACAGGAAAUGACUGAAGCUACAGGAACAAGUAGGGAAGUCACAGGAAAAGGCUGUGAAGCUACAGGAAAAGCUCAAAGACCAAACAUAAAGUACAUAUAUCCAGUA